rnacentral:ncRNA from 3 species
CUUAAUUUAAAAGCGACUGGGCAUAUAUUGCUACGAGGAAGGAGUAAUUCGGAUAAUCAGCGGGUACUCCUAGGUUCCGUUAUGAACCUUAAGAUUAAUCAAUGUGUGGGGUAUUUGGAUACACCGGCAAACAGAUUGCCAAUGACUUAG